rnacentral:lncRNA from 1 species
CGCCAAUGUGAAGGAGAAAGCCAUUAGCAAACCUGCGGGAGACCCGUCUGGAGAAGGCAAAGAUGAGAUCAUAAUGAACCUGUGCGUUGUGAAGACAUCGGACUGGUUGGUGUAUGUGAGGGCAUGAGAAACACUGAUGGACACUCGAGUGGGAGAGCAAGCGGACAGAGAGAUGGUAUGAGGACCUGAAGAAGGGGCGGCCACCGACCUCACCAAAUAAGAACCACUUUACAUAACACGUAGAAACCAAGACUGUCCCAGGACAGGCUGUCAAACAGCCAAACGACUGCAGAACAAAUCAUAAACGUUUAUACCAAGUCUACUGAUACCAUGUCACCUUGCUGUGGUCUGCUCUGGCCUCUCUCUGACGUCCAUCACUAGAAAGCAAAUGCCACGGAAAAAGCGAGGGGAACUUUUACAUGCACAUGAUGAGAAGCCAACUGCUGAAUAUUUCCCCAAACAUAAUAGGAUCCUCUGAUGUUUUCCGAUUUGUAACCUCAUGCCCCCUCCAAGUCAUCUUUGCAAUGUCUCCUUCGUGGUUUUUACCAUCAUUUCAUGUUUAUUUGAUGUUAUCUUUGAGCUCCAGGGAAUAUGUGCCUCUUUUCUGGACUGUUAUUUACCACCUCU